rnacentral:rRNA from 1 species
GACGAAGGAUGCAAGCGUUAUCCGGAUUCCUUGGGUUUAAAGGGAGCGUAGGUGGCCUGAUAAGUCAGUGGUGAAAUCUCGAGGCUUAACCUCGAAAUUGCCAUUGAUACUGUUAGGCUUGAGUAUAGUUGCCGUUGGCGGAAUAUGACAUGUAGUGGUGAAAUACAUAGAGAUGUCAUAGAACACCGAUUGCGAAGGCAGCUAACGAAACUAUAACUGACACUGAGGCUCGAAAGUGCGGGGAUCAAACAGG